UCAAGUAAAUUGAAAUAACCCUUCCUUCACAUACUACUUUUUUUGGAAAAGAUCUCAAAAUCCAAUGCUCUCUGUCACACUGGAAUUUUCUAGCCUUUGAACAACAUCUCUCCUUAUUCCUCCCACUACACCAGCCUCUAGUCACUUCCAAACAAUGGUUUAGGGAGCUAAGAUACCAGAGACAGACAGCUGAAUCAUUACCCCCAUGUAUGUGGCAAUACACAACAAUCGAGUAUCUGUGUGCAUUGUGUUAGCUUCCUAAAGCAUAGUUGGGAAGUGAUUUUAACCAAUCUGAUUCUGCUGUUUCUUCCGACUUGUACUUGGAGGACAGUGAGUCCAUCUUUCCCAGCUAGUGUUGGUUUUCAGAGUCCAGGCUGGGUAGGGCAACAUCGUGAACUAUUGCAUAUGCACGCCGUGCAGCUUCACCUUUCCCACUCAAAAUAAUCUUUUCUGCAGAUGGGACAGUUAUGUCAUUAGAGUGCCAUUCCCGGUAGUGCUGCCCAAGCCUCUCAAGGUCCAACUACCAUGACCCAGUGACUGUGUGUUUCACCUUCCACCUUUGGCAAAGAUGAAUUCACAACUGAAAUUUAGUCAACCCUUGGUGAGAGUUGGACUUUUCUGUUUAUACUGACUCGCAUUUUGAGAGCAGCUCAGCAGAUGGCCUCUUGAAAAGGGGCAGGGUCCAGUCCUGCCUCCAGUACUCAAGAAGCCAGUGACCUUGGCAAAUGAGAUCUGGAACCACUUAAUCAUUCAUCCCACAACAGAAGAAAUCAGUCUUCUAGUGUUUGUGCAUGGAAACAUGAAGUCAGUCAUGUUUGUCAGAGGAGAGACAGCUGAUGCCUGAAGCUGGAAGGGUGGGACAAAAUAUUGAGAGAGAGAAAGACAGGGAAAGGCAUGAAAUCCAGGAGAGUUGUUUGCGUUCAGUGUUGCGAUUAAUCCUGGGAGGCUGCUAUGAUUUACCUGUGGAUGGCUUCCCCUGGCCAUAGCACAAUUAUGGAAACCUCAACUACAUUGAUAAAAUCGCAAAGACAAACCUUGGGUCCCUGAUAUCUUGCUCAGCCCACUGCUUUCAGAUCCCAAGGACCAUAUAAUUCUUCUUCCUCCCACCCUCUAAAUCUCUCCAUGUGCCCACUUAAAAGCAAAGAACAGCUCCUUCUACCUGUCAGGCCAAGGAGUACAAGCAUGGAUGGCUUCCUGGAGGAGAGGGCAAUUGAGGUGGGCCUAGACAAACUGGGUGAGCCAGAUUUCCAAAAUCAGAAAUGCCAGGAAACAGGGGACAUGGUAUGUAUAGAGGCCUGGGUAGUAGACCUGGAUAUGGAGAGAUGAGCACAGUUAUAUAAGCUACAGUAUGAGAAAGGCCUGCGUUAUUUAGCUGGGCCUUUAGGUAUUGGUUGAGUUUUCCCUUGUAAACCUGGAGCUCAAUGUUGGGUUCCUUGUCAAUCACUUCAGACCCUCCAAUGACGUUGUUUGUAGGCGGUGCCUGAGACUGGGUGUCCAGGCAUCCGUACCACGUGACCAGGUAGAUACCCUUAAAGUCUGGAUUGUCCUGUGGGGCUUCCGUGGACAGUUUCCCGAGGAUAUGUGGGAAUAUGGCAGCACCCGCCUUCCGGGAUCAGAAAAUGUCCUGUGGUGGAAUAGUCUGUGACUGGCCAGCAUGGGAGCCUGUACCAUGACUAGUGUGGAACUGGAAAUAACUGUCCAGAGCAUCCAGCCAGGCAAUAGCAGGAUGAACUCGAGUGGAUGGUCAAAAGUCAACUCCAGGAAUAGAGGGAAUGUGAAAUGCUGCUCAGAUGCCUUUUUAUUUCUUGUU